rnacentral:lncRNA from 1 species
GUCCAUCGCUUUUAAUCUGAAUUGUUCGAUCGUGAUUAAAUAGGGAGUGAAUCUGGGCCGUUCAUCGCGAUUCAAUCUGAGCCAUCCAUGCACGAUUCAAUCUGCACCAUCCGUGCGCGAUGCAAUCUGGGCUGUCCGUGUGCGUUUUUUAUCUGGGCCAUCCGUGCGAGCGAGAACGGAUCUCAGCCAUUCGAUCGCGUGCAUGCGGAUCGCCCACGUGGCUCCCCCUACGUGGCCUCCGGCAUUAGUGCCUCUAUCACCUGGCGCAUCCUGGUUGGUCUGGGCUGCUGACCGGGCAGCUGACGUGGCGUAACUUUUUUAAAUUGUAUUUUAACCCUCAGUUUUCGAUUU